GACGAACGCUGGCGGCGUGCUUAACACAUGCCAGUCGAACGGAAAGGCCUGCUUUCCCUUGUGGAUUGCGGGUACUCGAGUGGCGAACGGGUGAGUAACACGUGAGUGAUCUGCCCCCAACUUGGGUAUAAGCCUGGGAAACUGGGUCUAAUUCCCGAUAGGACUGCAGGGUGGUGCCUGUGGUGGAAAACGAUUUUCUAGUGGUUGGGGAUGAGCUCGCGGCCUAUCAGCUUGUUGGUGGGGUAAUGGCCUACCAAGGCGGCGACGGGUAGCCGGCCUGAGAGGGUGGACGGCCACAUUGGGACUGAGAUGCGGCCCAGACUCCUACGGGAGGCAGCAGUGGGGAAUAUUGCACAAUGGGCGGAAGCCUGAUGCAGCGACGCCGCGUGGGGGAUGACGGCCUUCGGGUUGUAAACUCCUUUCGACCGCGAGGAAGCCACCUGGUUGGAAGGGUGGUGACGGUAGUGGUAGAAGAAGCACCGGCUAACUACGUG
rnacentral:rRNA from 1 species